rnacentral:sRNA from 1 species
CCUCCCGGCUCAAGAAGUGAGCGAAAUGAACCAUUAUUUGGCUUCUCAGCUUCAGAUACCCGCGCGAAAAAGCCUUGAUCGUACAAAGUUGUGUGGAUAGUGGAUAGGUGGAACGUCAUCAAUCAUGAGUAGAUUCUUCAUACUAUCUUCCCUGUUGGACUGAGAUACUAUAUAUUUAAGUGCUCGUACAAAAAUCUUGCGCCGGCGAUCCCACGACGAUAUUAUUAUCACCCAGGGAUGGAGAAUUCCGCCGUCCCUUGACAGAUAUAUCCGGCGUGAACGGAGCCUCACAGGGACUACUAAGAGGCAGAAUGUUUCUCUACAACCAGCCUGUCAGCCCAACAAGGGACCUGAGCAACGGCAACUGUGCUCCCUGCUGCAUAUCACUGCAUGGAGACAUGGACCAUUUUCUACAUGGCCUAUCUUGACCACAAUAAAAUAACUUCAAAUAAACAACACAGUAUGGUACCUGUAAUAGAAGUGAAGGAAAAAGAUAAGCCUAUCAAGACAACCUGGAAUAGGAACAAAAGGGGUUGAGUUGAAAACAAGGAAAGAAGAAAACACUAUCUGCGUCCCACUCUGGAAACAGUUUGUCGGUCGUAUCUCCUGUCCACACCUCCGAGCAUGAUCUUCAAAAUGGUGUUAGAUGACAGCACUGCACCGCUCCAUGGCGCUGUAUCAACUAUGUCCCGUACAUGGUUGUUUUUGUGCAGGGUAUCAUCAAGACUCUCCAACCACCUUGCAGCAGAUCGAUCAUUGCCAACUUGUACAAAUUGAAUUCCCACCUGCCACGGCUUCGCAUUGCAUUCGUCCAGUCGCCUUGCUACACUGAUCAACACCGGUUCCACAUCAUCAGUUGGGAUGCCGUCCGUGAUCACGAUGACGUUAAUCGGUUUAACAGGUGGCUUGCUCACACCCCUAGAACCCCCUGCCGACCUGUAUCGGACUUCAUCCACGUACGGAUUGAGAAUAUCGUGCAGUCGGCCUCCGGUCGGGGUUCGUCCGCUCGGCGUAACCCGACUAAAGAUAUGUCCAACAGCCUCUGAUGUUGUGAUGUUCGCAUACGCUCCGGUUAGAUUGCUCCAAUUUUUGUGGUUUAAGAAGUAUAUAUCAAAGCCAUCUUCGUCAUACUCGGCGCAGAUUGGGGCUAUAGCUGAAAGUGCUUCUCUGGUCUCGGCCCAUCUUGAGCCACUCAUGCUUCCGCUGUCGUCGACGAGAAGGAUGGUAUCGAAAUCACUCAAAAAGGCGUAGGGUGAGGAAUCAGCAAUGGUUUCCUGAGUCUCUGCUGUGGGGGUAUAGGCUGGUGGCUCGUCUGGAUAAGUCGCCCAGUCUAUCGCCUUGCCCCUCUCCUUCGCGUCCUGCUUCAGCCCGUUCCUCAUCAGCCCGUUCCUCAAGGAGCGCAUGAAACUGGCCAUUUCUUUUAUUCUUUCUGUUGAUGUCUUGCAAGUUGGUUCCCUUGAAAGUCGGAGAGUGAUGCGUGUGCAAGAGUUGGAAGGAAAUAUAACGAGCUAUUAAAUCGUUGCGCUGGAUUUCAAACGCCUGUAAUUGCGUCCAUGAAACGACGCAGGCCCACACUGAAGGAUGUAUUGUGGUCAACUACAGAACAAGAGUAAAAGUAACCCAUUACCGAAGAAUAAAGAAACUAUAGAAAGU